AGCCUGGGGCCAGCAACAGCAGGCAGCAGGCGUGUGCUGCUCCCUCGGCAUCCUCUCCUUCCCCCUCUGCAGCAGCCUCGUCAGCACAAAGAAUUCACGCUGACGGAAGUCAAGGUGUGAACAGAAUUGAUCCGAUUACACCAGCAAAGCCUCUCUGCUUUUAUUUGAGGCAAAAAUGGCUUUUUCAGUUUAGUUUGUAACCCAAAACAACCUUUAAAUUG